rnacentral:rRNA from 1 species
CGAGCGGCGAACGGGUGAGUAACACGUGAGUAACCUGCCCCUGACUCUGGGAUAAGCCCGGGAAACUGGGUCUAAUACCGGAUACGACACACGGUGGCAUCAUCGGUGUGUGGAAAGUUUUUUCGGUUGGGGAUGGACUCGCGGCCUAUCAGCUUGUUGGUGGGGUAAUGGCCUACCAAGGCGACGACGGGUAGCCGGCCUGAGAGGGCGACCGGCCACACUGGGACUGAGACACGGCCCAGACUCCUACGGGAGGCAGCAGUGGGGAAUAUUGCGCAAUGGGCGAAAGCCUGACGCAGCGACGCCGCGUGGGGGAUGACGGCCUUCGGGUUGUAAACCUCUUUCAGCAGGGACGAAGUUGACGUGUACCUGCAGAAGAAGCGCCGGCUAACUACGUGCCAGCAGCCGCGGUAAUACGUAGGGCGCAAGCGUUGUCCGGAAUUAUUGGGCGUAAAGAGCUCGUAGGUGGCUUGUCACGUCGGGUGUGAAAGCUUGGGGCUUAACUCCAGGUCUGCAUUCGAUACGGGCUGGCUAGAGGUAGGUAGGGGAGAACGGAAUUCCUGGUGUAGCGGUGAAAUGCGCAGAUAUCAGGAGGAACACCGGUGGCGAAGGCGGUUCUCUGGGCCUUACCUGACGCUGAGGAGCGAAAGCGUGGGGAGCGAACAGGAUUAGAUACCCUGGUAGUCCACGCUGUAAACGUU